AGGAGUGACCGAACGGAGAAGACGAAACACAGAGAGACUCCGCGGCAGAGGAAGUCAGCAGAGCAGAGUUUAAAUGGACACAAGGCUAUGUGAUGUUGUCUCGUUUCAGAAAGAACCUUCUGGUGGUGAAUGUUUAUUAGAUGCAUACUGGUUCAUUUGUUUGCUCGCUUCUGAGUGACUACAUAAUGAAUAUAAACAUCUUUACCAAAAGAAAUAUGGUAGAAAAAGAAGCAGGUGUUACUGGCAUAUGCCCAUCUCCCUGACCGCAUGGAAGGAACAUAUAACACCGUGAGCCUGAUGAGAAAGGGAAUUUCAGAAGAAACCUUCUUUCCUCUGGAUGAUCGAUCUCUGCAAAAUCUUCAUUAAGUUUUAGGCUCCCAGCACUACCUUGUUCCCGUCAGCAUGUACAUGAUGGAGCCUUAAGGACUGAUGUCGGGGAGCCAUCUCUGUGCCUCUCAUUCUUUUAGAAUACCUGAUUCUUCCUCUCGAACCUGCAGCUCUGCAGAGGAGGAAGAGUUGAGAGCGCGAAGAGUUGUGAUGCUGUUUCCUAGCAGCGCUCACAGAUUGGACGUUUCCAAAUGAUAACCAACCUGGGGCAUCUGUCCAGCUCAGUUAAGAGUCUGCGCUAACAGAGAUCUGCACUGGCCAGGGUCUGGGCGGCCGAAAGUUGCACACACAACAGCUUCCACAUUGCUCCUGCCAUCCCAGGAACGGUUCUUCCUUUAAUAUCCAUGUUUCUUUGCUUAUUGUUUGAAAGAGUACCAGAGAGAGAGAAUAAUGGUCAGAAUCAGUUCUAGAAGAUAUAAAUGAUGAAUUUGUUUGAAAAUAACUGUUCCAUUUUGGUAAGGAAUUUGUCAAGUUUUGGGUUAAAUUUGAUGGAACAAUGACAUCUGAUACAUACAGAUAUUCUUGUGCUUUGGUAGAGAUAAUAGGAACCCUGUGGGGAUAAGUGCAUUUAAAUCAAAGGGGUCUAAAACAUGCUGUAUUUUGUCAUGUAUAAGACACAUCCAUGUUUUGUGUGCAUUAUCCAUGAAAUUAUUAUGCCCAUUAUUAUACCCACAGUAUGUAACCAUUAUGCCCCUAUAUAGUGCACAUCCUUAUUUUUCCCUAAAAAAGUUGGGCAAAAAGUGCACAUUAUACAUGGCAAAAUAUGGUAGGUUACCUGUGGGCAGAGGGUGCCACUUGAAGGUGAAGUUCCAUAUUUUUACUCUAUGUUCAUCCGUAUGGCUUGAAUUGUAUUUUACAGUGAAUUUAUGCAUUACUUGUAUAACUUAAGAAAAUUAAUUUAAAAAUGUCAAUAAUUUCAUUUAA